CUGAUACUUAGUGGCGGACGGGUGAGUAAUGCUUAGGAAUCUGCCUAGUAGUGGGGGAUAACUUGGGGAAACCCAAGCUAAUACCGCAUACGACCUACGGGUGAAAGGGGGCUUUUAGCUCUCGCUAUUAGAUGAGCCUAAGUCGGAUUAGCUGGUUGGUGGGGUAAAGGCCUACCAAGGCGACGAUCUGUAGCUGGUCUGAGAGGAUGAUCAGCCACACUGGGACUGAGACACGGCCCAG
rnacentral:rRNA from 1 species